CCAGGUCGAGUUGUAAUUUGUAGAUUGUAUCUUGAGAGCGGAUUAAAGUCUGUUGGAACACAGCGCCUUAGAGGGUGACAGCCCCGUAAAAUCUAUUCUCAUUGUAAGAUACUUUCGAAGAGUCGAGUUGUUUGGGAAUGCAGCUCUAAGUGGGAGGUAAAUUCCUUCUAAAGCUAAAUAUUGACGAGAGACCGAUAGCGAACAAGUACUGUGAAGGAAAGAUGAAAAGCACUUUGAAAAGAGAGUGAAAAAGUACGUGAAAUUGUUAAAAGGGAAGGGUAUUGAAUCAGACUUGGUGCUGUUGUUCAACUGUGUUUCGGCAUAGUGUACUCAGCAGUACUAGGCCAAGGUGGGGUGUUUGGGAGUGAAAAAGAAGUUGGAACGUAACUCUUCGGAGUGUUAUAGCCUACUUUCAUAGCUCCUCAGGCGCCUCAGGACUGCGCUUCGGCAAGGACCUUGGCAUAAUGAUUCUAUACCGCCCGUCUU
rnacentral:rRNA from 1 species